rnacentral:rRNA from 1 species
CCUACGGGUGGCAGCAGUGAGGAAUAUUGGUCAAUGGACGAGAGUCUGAACCAGCCAAGUAGCGUGAAGGAUGACUGCCCUAUGGGUUGUAAACUUCUUUUAUAAAGGAAUAAAACGAGGCACGUGUGCCUUUUUGCAUGUACUUUAUGAAUAAGGAUCGGCUAACUCCGUGCCAGCAGCCGCGGUAAUACGGAGGAUCCGAGCGUUAUCCGGAUUUAUUGGGUUUAAAGGGAGCGUAGAUGGGUUGUUAAGUCAGUUGUGAAAGUUUGGGGCUCAACCGUAAAAUUGCAAUUGAUACUGGCAGUCUUGAGUACAGUUGAGGUAAGCGGAAUUCGUGGUGUAGCGGUGAAAUGCUUAGAUAUCACGAAGAACCCCGAUUGCGAAGGCAGCUUACUAAACUGUGACUGACAUUGAUGCUCGAAAGUGUGGGUAGCAAACAGGAUUAGAUACCCUUGUAGUC